GCAUAAACAGGUGCAGGACAAAUGCUCUGGGCUUGGAGUUGGUUUUGUACUGCCUCCUUCAAUUACCUCUUUUUGUUCCACAAAUCCAGAGUGCGACAAUGUCUCCUCCCUUCCAAGAGGAAGAUCAUCAGCUGAAGUCGAGCCUGGACUUGUCCUUGCUACCCUUCACAUCAUCACCAAGAAAAGAAGAGAAAAGAAAAGAAAAUAAGUGAAAGGAAAAGAAAAGAAAGGGAAAAAAGAAAAGAAAAAAGAAAAAAGAAAAAAGAAAAACAAACCCCGGUAACUAGGACACAUAGUCAAGCAAAACAAAUUCCCACCUUGGCCAUCUUGAAAAAGGAACCAAUCAAUGUCUCUCUGGAGCAUUCCAGCCAAGCCAAUGGGCUGGUUUGGAGGAGCAAAAAGUUCAUGAUCCUAGGAGGAAGGGGUUCCCUUUACACUCACAGAACCUAUACACAGUAUUGAUUCUAAGAUGGAAGAGCUGCCAUCUUGGAAGGAAAUAAUGUCAGAGCUGGAGGGGCCUUAGAACAUGGAAUGUCAGCGAUUUGAACCUGCCCCCUUCCUCAGAACCUCAGGAACCAAGAAGUACAAGAUUCAAGUUCAAAGUGUCCUCAUCUUUCUUGUGCUCAGUUCUGGUUUCUGUUAAGCCUUCUCUGGCCUUUGUGUCUCCCUCCAAGUGCCUUGUACACAGUAGGCACUUAAUAGAUGUUCAUCAACCCAGAGGGAUCUAUGAGAAAAACCACUAUCCACAUUCAGAGGAAAAACUGUGGGAGUAAAAACACCAAAGAAAAAACAACUGCUUGAUCACAUGGGUUGAGGGGAUGUG
rnacentral:lncRNA from 1 species